CGGCGUGCCUAAUACAUGCAAGUCGAACGAGUUCUGAUUAUUGAAAGGUGCUUGCAUCUUGAUUUAAUUUUGAACGAGUGGCGGACGGGUGAGUAACACGUGGGUAACCUGCCCUUAAGUGGGGGAUAACAUUUGGAAACAGAUGCUAAUACCGCAUAAAUCCAAAAACCGCAUGGUUCUUGGCUGAAAGAUGGCGUAAGCUAUCGCUUUUGGAUGGACCCGCGGCGUAUUAGCUAGUUGGUGAGGUAACGGCUCACCAAGGCAAUGAUACGUAGCCGAACUGAGAGGUUGAUCGGCCACAUUGGGACUGAGACACGGCCCAAACUCCUACGGGAGGCAGCAGUAGGGAAUCUUCCACAAUGGACGCAAGUCUGAUGGAGCAACGCCGCGUGAGUGAAGAAGGCUUUCGGGUCGUAAAACUCUGUUGUUGGAGAAGAAUGGUCGGCAGAGUAACUGUUGUCGGCGUGACGGUAUCAAACCAGAAAGCCCACGGCUAACUACGUGCCAACAGCCGCGGGUAAUACGUAGAUGGCAAGCGGUUAUCCGGAUUUAUUGGGGGUAAAGCGAGCGCAGGCGUUUUUUUAAUUCUGAUGUGAAAGCCCUCGGGCUAACCGAGGAAGUGCAUCGGAAACUGGGAAACUUGAGUGCAGAAGAGAACAGUGGAACUCCAUGUGUAGCGGUGAAAUGCGUAGAUAUAUGGAAGAACACCAGUGGCGAAGGCGGCUGUCUGGUCUGUAACUGACGCUGAGGCUCGAAAGCAUGGGUAGCGAACAGGAUUAGAUACCCUGGUAGUCCAUGCCGUAAACGAUGAAUGCUAGGUGUUGGAGGGUUUCCGCCCUUCAGUGCCGCAGCUAACGCAUUAAGCAUUCCGCCUGGGGAGUACGACCGCAAGGUUGAAACUCAAAGGAAUUGACGGGGGCCCGCACAAGCGGUGGAGCAUGUGGUUUAAUUCGAAGCAACGCGAAGAACCUUACCAGGUCUUGACAUCUUUUGAUCACCUGAGAGAUCAGGUUUCCCCUUCGGGGGCAAAAUGACAGGUGGUGCAUGGUUGUCGUCAGCUCGUGUCGUGAGAUGUUGGGUUAAGUCCCGCAACGAGCGCAACCCUUAUGACUAGUUGCCAGCAUUUAGUUGGGCACUCUAGUAAGACUGCCGGUGACAAACCGGAGGAAGGUGGGGAUGACGUCAAAUCAUCAUGCCCCUUAUGACCUGGGCUACACACGUGCUACAAUGGAUGGUACAACGAGUUGCGAGACCGCGAGGUCAAGCUAAUCUCUUAAAGCCAUUCUCAGUUCGGACUGUAGGCUGCAACUCGCCUACACGAAGUCGGAAUCGCUAGUAAUCGCGGAUCAGCACGCCGCGGUGAAUACGUUCCCGGGCCUUGUACACACCGCCCGUCACACCAUGAGAGUUUGUAACACCCGAAGCCGGUGGCGUAACCCUUUUAGGGAGCGAGCCGUCUAAGGUGGGACAAAUGAUUAGGGUGAA
rnacentral:rRNA from 1 species